rnacentral:rRNA from 1 species
CAGCCCUUGACAUCCCGGUCGCGGACUCCAGAGANGGAGUCCUUCAGUUCGGCUGGACCGGAGACAGGUGCUGCAUGGCUGUCGUCAGCUCGUGUCGUGAGAUGUUGGGUUAAGUCCCGCAACGAGCGCAACCCCCGUCCUUAGUUGCUACCAUUUAGUUGAGCACUCUAAGGAGACUGCCGGUGAUAAGCCGCGAGGAAGGUGGGGAUGACGUCAAGUCCUCAUGGCCCUUACGGGCUGGGCUACACACGUGCUACAAUGGCGGUGACAAUGGGACGCUAAGGGGCAACCCUUCGCAAAUCUCAAAAAGCCGUCUCAGUUCGGAUUGGGCUCUGCAACUCGAGCCCAUGAAGUUGGAAUCGCUAGUAAUCGUGGAUCAGCACGCCACGGUGAAUACGUUCCC